AGAAUCAACGCUGGCGGCGUGCCUAACACAUGCAAGUCGAACGCGGUUACUCCGCAAGGAGUGACUGAGUGGCGAACGGGUGAGUAACACGUGGGUGAUCUACCUUUGAGUGGGGGAUAACGUUCCGAAAAGGAACGCUAAUACCGCAUGACGUUCUGGGUUUGAAGACCUGGAAACCAAAGUCGGGGACCGCAAGGCCUGACGCUUGGAGAGGAGCCCGCGCCUGAUUAGCUAGUUGGUGAGGUAAUGGCUCACCAAGGCGACGAUCAGUA
rnacentral:rRNA from 1 species